rnacentral:lncRNA from 1 species
AAAUGUAUAUCUCAAUGCAAACAUUAGUCCAUUAGGGUUGUCAUUUAAUUAUCAAAACCACACAUGGGGACUACUUGUACUUUUAGUCGACCCAUCCCGCCGCCAUAGGGUAGUAAGACAAUCGAGACGACACGCCACACCACACAAGCGAGAGUGCCACCGGAGCUUCGAAGACCGCCGCGCACGCCCCGCCGUUGUGUCCACACUGAUGCCGCACUCGCAUGCGAGAGCACUAAUCGCGUCGGGACCGAGGCCCGCCCCCGCCAGCUGCUGCCGGGGCUUUGCCCGACGACGUGUGCUGACGGAGGCACGGGAGGAAGGGAAUAGAGGGGCGGGGGAGGUGGCGGCUAUGUUUUCUCUGUGCAGAGCCGUCACUGUGGAGUGACGCGGGGGUAAGGGGCCUUUUCACACCGUAGAAAGUCCCCAACAAUAAGUUUAGUCGGAGCAUUUACAACACGACCCAAGUAAGCCUCACCUGUGGGUAUCUAGUUGCUUUUACAAAACUUCUCUCGUGUAUCAUCAACCCAUCACCAUUUAUACAUUCUCAACAUUUCUGAUUCCAAAGUGAGAGCAAUACCCCUACUACCUUAUGAAAUUUCCCCUAAAUAAUACUCUUCUCAUCCACCUGCCUGCACGUAUAAGAGCAAGUAUAAUAGGGUGACAUAAGCAGACUAUAAUGAAUAGAAUAAUAUAUCUUUGCUUUGUUGGAGGAGAGAGAAGAGAAGCGAGCUCUUGGUUAGUAGCCAGCUGCAACACAAGACCCAAGACGCUUUGUGAGGAUGUAAGGUGGGCCAACUAUUGAUAAACUAGUUCAUAUUUAAAACUUACUAUUGUACAUGCUGGCUAAGAGGUUGGCUGUAGACAGUGGCGAACCUAGCUCACUGGGCCAGGGUGGGCCAACAGUGCAAUUGUACAUAUAAUUUUAUUUUUUCUAUUUAUUUUUAGCAUUUUUUCUAUGGUAUAAAGCCCAUUUUCCAAUCUCAAGGUGGGCCGUGACCCACACUGUCCAUCCUAUACCUUCGCCCCUGGCUGUAGAUGACAUAGCAAGUUCUUAUUACUAACAAUGCUUUGGUAUAUAUUAUUCUGCUUUCGAUAAAAAUAUGGUAUGUCAUUGACAUACUCUCAAAAAAAAACUAACAAUGUUCUAAGCCCACAGGCGAGUCUUGAUUCUUGCGGUCAGCAUUCAGCAGCAAUCGUGGACUGAAGACCUCCUCAUUUGUCCACGUAAGCAAUGCAUCGCCACUUCCCCACACACAACACGCCACGUAUGCCCGAAGGGUAUAACUGUAAAUUCGUAUGCAACGAGGCGUGACGAAGCAUCUAAACGCGCAGACGGAUUUGGGUGGUGGAGAAAGGGGAACGGGGAAAGGGAUCUCGCCGCAACGCACCAUGGAGCUCGCCGCAACCAGCGCUGCUGCCCUCCGGCGAUCGUUGGCGUCGGGGUAUCCGGUGGUCCCGAGGGAGAGGAGGAGUGGGAUGCCGGCUAGGGUGUCCUGCGUCGGCCGCGGAGGCAGAGGCGUAGGCGGGGGAUUCGCCGACGAGGCGCACCUCAGGUACUACGAGGCGCCGCGGAAGGCGGUGGAGGCGGCGGCGAGGGAUCUUACCAAGCUCCGGGCCAUGGGCCUUGUCGCCGGCGACCCAGCCAAGGAGAAGAUCCUCUCGGUGAACCCUCUGCCUCCCUCCUCAUCAUAUGUCGAUUUUGUGGUUCUGUUCUCCAUUUAUGCUUCAGAUUAGGGUUGACAAGUUUCGAUGCUCGAAGGAGCGCUUACGUAAUUGCAGUGGUUUAUUGCGAUUAAUUGUUGCGGAAGGAUUUGAAUGAUGUUGACGCAAUGUUUGAUUUGGCCUCAAACAUAAACACUACUCAUUUCCCCCUGCAGCUAAACAUAAAGAUUUAGAUUUCUUCUAUUUCUUGGUAAUUCUGGAAAACUGCUUGGACAUUUUAGCACCAUGCUUUGAUUGAAACAUGAAUUUGGUGGUAAAAUUAGCUGGCUGGUUUUGUAGUGUACUUUUUGUACGAAUUAUGAUAAAGUUGAGCUCUGGUUUGUGGGGAACUAUUUAUACAGGAAGCCACUGAGCUGCUGCUACAGGAGUUGAAUCAGAUGAAGGAUGCAGAGGACGAGCUGAAGAAGAAGCAGAAAGAGGAGAAGGCUGCGAUGAAAGCACUGAAGAAGCAGCAGAAGGAAGCCAAGAAGGCUGCGAUGAACUGUGGAGAUGGCUCCUCUGAAUCGAGCGAGAGUGAGUGCGAGGAAGGGCAAUCCAUGAAAAUGAGGUGUGUUGCCACCACAUCGGUGCCUGCAGUUGAGCAAGGAAUGGUGAUGUCAAUGUCGGUGCCCCAAAUUGCUGCAUCCAACAUCGCAACAGCUCCGGCAAUGGAUUUUGACAAGGCUGCGAUGAAGGCCAUGAAGAAGAGGGAGAAGGAACAAAAGAAAGCUGCAAAGAAGGCCAUGAAGAUGAAAAAGGAGGAAGAGAAGAGGAUGGCCACACUGAAUUCCUGCAAGGAUGAAGACAGCUCAUGCUCAUCGGAGUCCAGCAACAGUGAGUGUGAAGGGGAAGUCGUCAGAAUGAGCUGCUGUGCCACCAUUUCUGCGCCUCGAACACCACCUGCAAGCACAGUUUUCCCCAUCAUAGUGCCUCAAAUCCCAGACUCCGUUGCACUGGAUGCUCAGAUCUUUUCCGGGUCUGCAAAUGCAAUGCAGUGCACUGCCACCAGCAUUGCGGUUGUCGAAAAACCAGUGCUGAACAGAAUCGAGGUCUGCAUGGGCGGCAAAUGCAAGAAGGCGGGCUCGCUCGCUGUCCUGCAGGAGUUCGAGACGGAGGUCGGCACGGGCGGCAUGGUGGUCGGUUGCAAAUGUUUGGGGAAAUGCAGGCUAGGCCCAAAUGUGCGGCUUCGGAGUGAGGGCUCUGUACAGAAGAACAGUCCCAUCUGCAUUGGUGUAGGCUUGGAUGAUGUUGGCACCAUCGUGGCAGGCUUCAUCGGAGAUGGUGACGUGGGCAUGAACUGAUACGAUGGUUACCUGGACCUGGUUCAGGUUGGUAUUUACAGACCUGUACUCCUACAACUUGUUUUGUCUGGCAAAUGUACUACUACAACUUUGCUGCACAAUAAUACAUUGUAGAUAAUCACGCCCCUGACGAGCUGAUGUAUGUUCUGAGCUUAAUGAGCUGUUGUUUACUAUAUAUACUCCCUGUUUCAUCCAGGAACCGCGAGGUUGUCGGUUCUUAGGUUUCUUUUAGUUGUGGUUCUGCCGCUCCUCUGCUUAUGCUUGGUGGCACGCUCGCGGCGUCCAACAGAGCAUUUCUGAUGUUAUGUUGGCCUUGUUUGUCGUGCGUUGUCUUGUUUUUUAUUUGAUCAGUUUGCAUGAGGAUUUC